rnacentral:tRNA from 1 species
GGUUCUGUAGUGAAGUUCAUGUUGAGUUGCAAACUCAUCGAUGUGCAUUGAAAUGCACCGGGACCU